rnacentral:rRNA from 2 species
UGCAGUCGAGCGGAUGACGGGGAGCUUGCUCCCCUGAUUCAGCGGCGGACGGGUGAGUAACACGUGGGCAACCUGCCUGUAAGAUCGGGAUAACUCCGGGAAACCGGGGCUAAUACCGGAUGGUUCCUUCCUCCGCAUGGAGGAAGGCGGAAAGACGGUUUCGGCUGUCACUUACAGAUGGGCCCGCGGCGCAUUAGCUAGUUGGCGGGGUAACGGCCCACCAAGGCAACGAUGCGUAGCCGACCUGAGAGGGUGAUCGGCCACACUGGGACUGAGACACGGCCCAGACUCCUACGGGAGGCAGCAGUAGGGAAUCUUCCGCAAUGGACGAAAGUCUGACGGAGCAACGCCGCGUGAGCGAAGAAGGCCUUCGGGUCGUAAAGCUCUGUUGUAAGGGAAGAACAAGCGCCGGUUAACUGCCGGCGCCCUGACGGUACCUUACCAGAAAGCCACGGCUAACUACGUGCCAGCAGCCGCGGUAAUACGUAGGUGGCAAGCGUUGUCCGGAAUCAUUGGGCGUAAAGCGCGCGCAGGCGGUUUCUUAAGUCUGAUGUGAAAGCCCACGGCUCAACCGUGGAGGGUCAUUGGAAACUGGGAGACUUGAGUGCAGAAGAGGAAAGCGGAAUUCCACGUGUAGCGGUGAAAUGCGUAGAGAUGUGGAGGAACACCAGUGGCGAAGGCGGCUUUCUGGUCUGUAACUGACGCUGAGGCGCGAAAGCGUGGGGAGCAAACAGGAUUAGAUACCC